UUUCUGGCCCUCUCCGAGGAGUCCCAUCCAGGACACUGCCCUGUAUUGUCUGAUCAAGCAUUUCUCACAGCUUGCCAGUGCUCGACUGUUGGAUCCUACCCAGUACCCUGUGACCCGGUGACUGGCCAGUGUGAGUGCCUGCCUGGAGUGACAGGAAGGCAGUGUGACAGGUGUCUCUCAGGAGCCUACGACUUCCCCUCCUGCCGAGGAUCCAGCAGUAUUUGUGACCCAGCUGGGACCGUUGACUCCAGCUUGGGUUAUUGCCAGUGCAAGCUCCAUGUCACAAGUCCUACGUGUAGUGUCUGCAAACCUUUAUAUUGGAAUCUGGCCAAAGAAAACCCCAGUGGAUGCUCAGGUGCG